CAGGAUGAGGUGAUGAUGUUUAAAUGAAGAGUUAUAAAUACAGAAUGAGAGAAAGACUGACAGAAACAAGAAAGUGCUUAUAAGUGUCUGCUGGGACUGAUCAUUCUCACAGGAAAACUUACUCUGGAACAACAGUGUGGGCAGUGAGAUGAGAACAGAGACACUUUGAGCUUUAACCACUAACCAUCGACCAACUGCUGACCGAUGAGAAAACAUCAUUAGCUCCUGAGAGACAAAGAUAAACUGAACCACAGUGAUCUGAACUGAAGACAACGACUGUAACACAUUUCAGUUUCAUUCAGCAACAUGAACGGUGAAAAUCAGACCAGACAGAUUCAUGACAAUAAUGUCCCUAAUGAAAAACGAUAUGAUUCUUCACAAAUCAGAAUCAUAAUCUUCUUCAUCACUAGUGUUUGUGUGGGUCUUCCAGCUCUGGUUUGGGCUUUUCGUCUUCUGCACCUUCACAGAAAGAUCAGAGGCCGAAUCUCAGUCUUCAUCCUCCUCCUCCUCCUCAAUGACCUGAUACAAUUACCCCUUCAUCUAUAUAUACUGGCAGGUAUACUGACAAGAUUCAGAUCCUUUAUCCUUGAGCUUUUUCAGUUUUGGUUGGGAUUAUAUUGGUGUGGUUUUCAUCUGCAUCAGCUGGUGGCUCUGGAGGGGAUUGUGACUCUGAAAUAUCCGCUUUGGUCUGCUCGUAUUUUCUCACUGCCCUGUUACAUCAUAAUCUCCAUCCUUGUGCUUUUUUUUUCUAUAGUGAGUGCAUUAUUUCUUUUCCCGCAUUCACAAGAUGCAAACAUGUCAUUAUUCAGUCUCAGCACAAGUUUAGUUCCUCUGAUCUUAAUGGCUGUAUCAUCUACAAUCAGCUGUAAAGCCUCUUCCACUCCUGUCAGAAAAAACAGUUCAGUGCUCACUGUUGCUAUUCUUACAUUUGUUUUGAUGUACUUACCUUUCAUGUUCUUCAUCUGUGUGAAUUUCUUUUAUUUAUAUGCAUAUGUCUAUCCAUGGUUGUUAAUAUCUUACUGUUUGAUGAGUUUG